rnacentral:rRNA from 1 species
AGGGCACCACCAGGAGUGGAGCCUGCGGCUUAAUUUGACUCAACACGGGGAAACUCACCCGGCCCGGACACCGGAAGGAUUGACAGAUUGAUAGCUCUUUCUUGAUUCGGUGGAUGGUGGUGCAUGGCCGUUCUUAGUUGGUGGAGCGAUCUGUCUGGUUAAUUCCGAUAACGAACGAGACUCUAGCCUAUUAAAUAGACGUCGGGUUCUCUGCACUCGACGGUCUUCUUAGAGGGACAAGGUGCUUUUAGCACCGCGAAACAGAGCAAUAACAGGUCUGUGAUGCCCUUAGAUGUCCGGGGCCGCACGCGCGCUACACUGAAGGAAGCAGCGUGUAACAACCUUGUUCUAACGAACUGGGUAACCCGUGGAACUUCCUUCAUGAUUGGGAUAGGGGUUUGCAAUUGUGCCCCUUGAACGAGGAAUUCCCAGUAAACACUAGUCAUCAGCUAGUGCUGAUUACGCCCCUGCCCUUUGUACACACCGCCCGUCGCUACUACCGAUUGAAUGGUUUAGUGA